UUGAAACUCAAUCAUUAUUUCAUUAAAACGCUAAAUGCUCCACUCAAAUUUACUCAUAAUUAUGCCAUUAGAAACUUUUAUUCUACUCUCACAGCUCGCUAUUGCACUUCUGUAGUGCAUUUCUAUGUUGCAUUUAUUUCACGUAGUGAGACAACCAUUCAUAAAAUUUCAAAUUUGAAUAAACCAGAAUUUAACCAUGUAUACAGCAUUUUACAAACACGUAGAUAUUUGUUCCUACUACCUUUUCUUAGGGGACGCAAAUGCAGUCUAUGGUGUUAUAAACAUGAGAUUACAAGGUUUCAGGUUAACUGUACCAGGACUUGGCACAGUUGUAUCGUUUGGCUGCUGAUCUCCUAUGUCCUUCAUUUUCGCUGA